CUGCGAAUGACUAUUGAGGAAGAAAAGACGACAGCGUUGCCAUCUCCUCCUCCGCUUUCCACCCCACCGACAACUAGAAGAGAUAAGCGGACACAGAAGCAGUACGUCCGGCAUGCCGCGACUUCUCCACGGAUCGCAAAGGGCAGGAGAGGAGCAUGAAGCUGAGAAGCUAACAAAGCCUGUGCCGAAAAUCGCUAGCGAUUUGGCAGCUCAGUCCCUCGCGAAUCUGUGGCGGCGGCUGUUUCAGAGUUACGUCCACUUCACCCAGCCAGGAUGCUUGCCUUUUGUUGCCGAUGCCGCAACAUACAGCGACGGCGUAGGCAACGUUGCCGACUCUGACACUGCGCUUGACGCAUUGUGGGCCGCUGGCUUUGGUGCAUCCUCAACGCCGGAUGCUCUCAUUGUACACCUUUUUCUCGCGAACAAGCACUUCGAUGCCGUUUCGUGGAUUAUUGCAUUUUGCCUUGUUGAUCGGCUGCAGCUCAGUCACUACGUGCGACAGCGACUACGGGAGCUGUCAUUCUUGCAGCAGCGCGAGGAUGACAGCAACUGUUUUCUAAGGCUGGCCAGGGAGCACGUUACACAGCUACUCUUCACGGCUUACUCGCUCGCCUUCAAGUGGCAUUUGGACUACACGGUAUCGGUCAAAUAUCUCACAAACCUUCUUCCUCACACACGUAGCGCCCGAGUACGUAUCCUUCGCAGCACAAUCAGGGAGGAGCUCGUCGUUCUUGAAACGCUCGAGUUUAACUGCGCUGUAUCACAUGACCAUUUGCUGCAGUUGAUGGAUCAUUUCUUGACAGCGUCCGAGCGCCGCUACGUGCUGCAAGUUAUUCAUAGAGUGUGAUAGCGGGUCUUCAAUCGCUCUUUUGCUCAGCGACCUUUUUCCCUUCCUCGACACAGAUCUCUCUCUCUCUCGUGCGCGUGACGUUUUGACCUGGCUCCAGUCGCUGCGGACCGAUCCAGAGUGCCGUCAUGGCGACGACCUGAGCCCCCCCUCCUCCUCCCCCCUUUUUGUUAGGUUUGCAAUCAUAAUCCUUCUGCACUCUGCUUCGCUCCGUUCCCAGCUGCUUUGAGCAUUCCAAUAACAAAUCUCUGAGCCCCGAGUGUCAACGCAGCCGCGCCGUGCUUCCUUAGCCUUCUCGCAGGACUGGAGAGCUUCACUCUUCCACGUGGUAGGAUUGCCUGUGGCAGGCAGAGAAAGAACCUCGCUUUCUUCUUCUCACAUGUGGCCAAUAGGCGUCGAUGUGCGCCGAGGUACACCGAUGAAGUGCCUCGGUUGCCCGCGGUGUCGCUGUUCUCCCUGCUUUACCGCACCUAAACUCUCCUCUACUUUCCCCCUUUCCUCUUCGCCGUAUUCUGCCUCUUCGUUUGUGAACUCCACCGUCUCGUUCCUCUUUCGACGCAUGCGCCCCCUUACCCCUCCCUGACGCGUCUGCUGUUUUUUUUUUUAAUCAUUGGUGCCCCGGUUUCCUCUCACAUCCACGUGUGCGUGUUUGCGAUCUCGACAUCGGCAUGGUAUUUUAACCUGUGCGCGUGCAUUCGUCUGUUGCUUCCACUAUAUGUGCGUGUGUGCUGGCAG
rnacentral:misc_RNA from 1 species